UUGAUAAUAAUCUUGUAACCCUCUGCAGUCAGUAGGCUUUAGGACCCUUAGUUAGUCGUUUGGUAUCGGAGAGGCUGUGCAUGCGCGGGAAAUUUCAGACCCCAGUUUAUAAAAACAAGUGGUUGUAGUUGGAUAUUCGAGUCUUGUUCGAAAGGCAACUUCAGUCUGACUCACUCUAAAGAAAAACAAGGAAGCCGGGAGGUGCAGUGUGUGAUGGAAGGCGAGUUUAAUUCAGUAUCGCGUCUAAAGGACUGAGUUUCCCAAAGGGUACUGGCAGUGUUGGUGAGAUCAGUGUUGGAAAGCUUCCCUUCAGAUUACAGGUGAGGAUACACCCGAGCUGCACUCGGUGGAUCUGGAGUUGGAGGCCGUGGAGAAGCAGAUCCGCGACCUACAGGUGAAGCAGGCCCAGCUGUGACAACAGAAAGCCGCGCUGGAAUCAUCCCGAACUGACGCUCACCUGUCCCAGGUAAAUUCGUGGCGGGAAACAAACACUCCCAAAACCUCAACUCCGCGUACUUCUCUAUCCAGGCCUAGUGCACCUAGGACGCGGCCCGCCCAGGUUUCAUUCACUCCAGCGCCAGGGUACCACGGAGCCUGGAUGCAGCAGCAGCGGAAGACACGAGCCAGGACCCGGGCGAGGACCUCUCCCCCUCCACCGCCACCCGUUUGAGAUCUCGACCCGGAACCGCUUCGCUCCCCUUCGCGAGUCGGAAUGCGACACAGUGAUCAUCGGAGACUCCAUCGUCCGGCACGUCCGUGCUACCACGGCUAAAGGUAAGGUGCGCACUCGCUGUUUUCCUUGUGCUCGUGUACUCGAUGUCACUGCACAGGUACCCGCGAUCCUGAAUAGGAAGAACAUCGGAGCUGUGGUCCUCCAUGCUGGAACGAACGACACCAGGCUGAGGCAGACGGAGAUCCUGAAGAAGGACUUCAGAAGCCUGAUUGAGAAGGUACGCAGCACAUCGCCCACGACGAGGAUCAUCGUGUCAGGACCGCUUCCCAUGUUCCAGCGAGGAAUCGAGGAAUCGAGCUUUUAAUGAAUGGUUGUGUCAAGACCAGAAAUUACCCUUUAUUGAUAACUAGAAUAUUUUCUGGGAGCGUCCUAGGCUCAACCAUACUGACGGCCUGCACCCAAGCAGAGCUGGAGCAGCGGUCCUCUUGGACAACAUCUCCAUGACACUACGCACCAUCUGACUGACUCUCAUGUUUCUGCUCGGAUAUCAGCUUGUCUGGCUGACAUCUCAUCAUGGAUGACAACUCACCAGCUGAAACUUAAUCCCACCAAAACUGAACUGCUGUUCAUCCCAUGUGAUUCAUCCCCAUCUCAGGAUCUUGCAAUUUCCCUAGACAAUUCUCUGAUCUCGCCUUCGGUUACCGCACGCAACCUUGGGGUAACCAUGGACAAUCAACUGUCCUUCUCCUCUCACAUUGCUAAUCUAACACGCUCAUGUCGAUUUCUCCUUUAUAACAUCAGAAGAAUUCGUCCAUUUCUUUCCUCACAGGCCACACAGGUGCUUGUUCAGUCCCUUGUCAUUUCGAGACUGGACUACUGCAACUCACUCCUGGCAGGUCUGCCUCUGAGCGCCAUUCGUCCUCUGCAACUGAUCCAGAAUGCAGCUGCACGACUGGUUUUCAACCUUCCUAAAUUUUCCCACACCACCCCAUUGCUGCACUCCCUCCACUGGCUUCCUGUAGCUGCCCGCAUCAGAUUUAAAACACUGAUGCUCGCCUACAAAGCCAAAAACGGACCAGCACCCACUUAUCUCAAAGCACUUAUCACACCUCGAGCGCCACCACGCUCCCUCCGAUCCUCUAGCACUGCUCGACUGGUCCCUCCAUCUGUCAGGGUACAAGGAAGGCAUGCAUCGAGACUCUUCUCUGUUCUGGCACCAAGGUGGUGGAAUGAACUUCCCCUAGAUGUCCGAACAGCUGAGUCACUGGCAGUCUUCAAACGACGGCUAAAGACUUACCUCUUCAUAAAAUACUUAAAUUAGCACUUUCACCAAAAAAAAAAAAAAAAAAAAAAAAAAAAAAAAACCCUCCCCAACAGAGUUUUGGACUGAUGGUAUUCCUAGUUUGUGACCUACCGAGCCAAUAUCAGAAUGUAUUUUUGACAGACUUCAAAGCACUAUUGUAAGUCGCUCUGGAUAAGGGCAUCUGCCAAAUGCCAUAAAUGUAAAUGUAAAUGUCUUAGUUAAUGAACUGAUCACGGAUCAGGAGUAUGACACGUUAUGUUUAAGAGAAACGUGGAUUAGGCAGAACAAAUAUGUUGCAUUAAAUGAAGCUAGUCCGCCCACUUAUAGCUACAUACAUCAGCCUCGUUUAACCGGUAGAGGAGGAGGCGUCGCAGUUAUUCAUAAGGAUAAUCUGACCAUCGUACAGAAACUAGGACAAAACUUUAAUUCAUUUGAAGCACUUUAUAGUAACAUAAGUGCAGUCGCUAAUGAUAAGUCAUCACAGUCCCUUCCGUUAGUUAUUAUCUACAGACCCCCAGGACCGUACUCUGAAUUUCUUAGUGAAUUUACAGAUUUCCUAUCAAACCUAGUUGUUUCUGUCGACCGAGCGUUAAUUGCCGGAGACUUUAACAUUCAUUUUGAGAAUAUAGGCAAACCCGCUGAAGAUAGCGUUUACAUCCAUACUUGACUCAUUGGGAGUCAAUCAGUGUGUUGUAGGAUCCACACAUAAAGCAGGUCAUACGUUAGACUUAAUAUUAUCUUUUGGAGUUAAUAUAACCAAUAUAGUGAUAAUCCCGCAGUCUGAGGCAAUAUCAGAUCACAGUCUGAUUUCGUUUUGUGUGUGUCACAGUAGCAUUGUACACACAGAACCGCGCUACCGAUUUAGCCGUACAAUAACACCUGCGACCGUGCAGAGCUUUAUUAAUCACCUACCAGAAUUAUCCGCUAGUAUAGGGUCACCAUCAGACCCUUUAGAACUCGAACAAGCGACAGAAUUUUUAGAGUCGACAUUCCGCUGUACCUUAGAUAAUGUAGCCCCAUUUAGAAGAAAAACAAUUAAAGAUGAGAAACUCGCUCCGUGGUAUAGUGACCACACAUGCUCUCUAAAACAGAACGCCCGAAAGCUAGAGCGUAAAUGGCACCAGACCAAACUCCUAGCAUUUAAAAUAGCAUGGAAAGACAGUAUUUUAGCCUUUAAAAAAGCUCUAAGGCUAGCUAGGUCCACUUACUUAUCAACGCUUAUAGAAAAUAAUAAAAGUAAUCCUAAAUUCUUAUUUAACACCAUAGCAGAAUUAACUAGGAAUAAGACAUCGACAGAAAUUUCCACAAUAACAGCAUAUAAAAGUAACAAUUUCAUGAAAUUCUUUGAUAGCAAAAUUAAAAACAUUAGGCAGAAGAUACAGGCCCAAAGUCCAAAUUAUACAAUAGACUGGGAGGAUAGACAAACCAUAGAUCAGAGCUUAGAAAGUUUUACUCCUCUUGAAGAAAAUGAUUUAAUCUCACUCAUCUCUUCUGCUAAAUCAUCAACCUGUCUAUUAGAUCCGGUACCAACACGUCUUCUUAAGCAAAUAGUUGGAACCGUAACUGAACCCCUGCUUAAAAUAGUUAACUCCUCACUGAGCAAUGGGUACGUUCCAAAAUCACUUAAAUUAGCUGUUAUUAAACCACUAGUAAAGAAACCAGACCUUGACCCUAACGACUUAACUAACUAUAGGCCGAUUUCAAACCUUCCCUUUCUAUCUAAAAUACUAGAGAAGGUAGUAGCGCAGCAGCUAAUUUCAUAUCUACAAAGUAAUAAUAUCUAUGAACUUUAUCAGUCAGGUUUCAGGCCCCACCACAGCACAGAGACAGCAUUAGUCAAAGUAGUCAAUGAGUUGCUAUUAGCCUCUGAUCGGGGUUGCAUUAGUCUAUUAAUUUUACUCGACCUUAGCGCAGCGUUCGACACUAUCGACCAUAAUAUCCUUCUUCACAGACUGGAAAAGUCAGUUUGUAGAUUUAAACGGUGACCACUCAGCACGUUAUCGAGUAGAAUAUGGCGUUCCGCAGGGUUCAGUCUUAGGCCCACUGCUUUUCAAGUUAUACAUGCUCCCUUUAGGUAACAUAAUUCGUAAACAUAAUAUUAGCUUCCAUUGUUAUGCUGAUGACACACAGUUAUACGUCUCAGCUAGGCCAGAUGAGAAUAGCCAGUUAAAGAAAGUUGAGGCAUAUGCGACAGACAUAAGAGACUGGAUGCUAAGCAACUUUCUCCUGCUAAACCCGGAAAAAACUUCUGGUACUCGGACCACAAGCCGCUAGAAGUAAGUUUAAAGAUCACACUGUUACUUUAGACGGUCUCUCUGUUUCAAGUAGUCUAACAGUAAAAGAUCUCGGUGUGAUUAUAGACUCUAAUCUCUCAUUUGAGGCGCAUGUAGAUAAUGUAAGCAGGUUAGCAUUUUUCCACCUCAGAAAUAUCGCUAAGAUUAGAAAUAUACUUUCGCUAAGUGAUGCUGAAAAACUAGUCCAUGCAUUUAUCACGUCCAGAUUAGAUUACUGUAAUGCUUUACUAUCUGGAUGUUCGUCUAGAUGCAUAAAUAAGCUUCAGGUAGUUCAGAAUGCAGCAGCAAGGGUCCUUACUAGGACUAGGAAGUAUGAGCAUAUCACGCCAGUCACUGGCUCCCAGUAAGAUUCAACAUCGAUUUUAAAAUAUUACUCCUAACCUAUAAAGCAUUAAACGGUAUCGCUCCGCAGUAUUUAAGCGAUAUGUUAGUACCUUACGUUCCGUUGCGCCUACUUCGCUCUAAGGAUGCAGGCUGUCUAUCAGUACCACGCAUUGCCAAAACCACGGCGGGGGGCAGAGCUUUCUCUUACCAAGCCCCAAAAUUAUGGAAUAGCCUCCCAGUUAAUGUACGUGAAGCAGACAUGGUCUCAGUGUUUAAGUCGAGGUUGAAGACUUAUUUAUUUAACCUAGCAUUUAGCGACUAGUGUUUUAGACAAAGGAGUAGAUCUGGGGGACUCGUGGAUGUUGAGUGUUAUGGUGAUCUGGUGUGUUUGGAUGCUGUCUUCCUCACUCUCGUUAGUCACUCAGGUUUAUGACGGCAGAGUGACUGUAUGCCUUACAUAUCGGGGAUCUCUCACGUCUGUGUUUCCCCCUGGUUCUCCUUUUAGUUAUGCUAUUAUAGCUAGUCCUGCUGGAGUCCCCUGCACUCCUCAUUAAGUUUUAUCUCCACACGGUGACUGUGAGUGUACCUAACCACUUUCCUUCUCUUUCUGCCGAGCUACACUCCUGAGCUGCCGGUGAUCCAGACCACCCUACGCUCUGGACCAGAUGAGCAUCACUCCUGAGCUGCUGGUAAUCCAGACCUCCCCCCGCUUCACUCUGGACCUGUCCACCGGCAAUGCUUCACACUGCCACGAAGUCGCUUCAGCUGUUUUCUAUGGACUACACAAACACACAUUGUACACACACACACGCGCGCACUACAGUGUAAACCCAUAUGAGGAUGGGUUCUUUGUUGAGUCUGGUUCCUCUCAAGGUUUCUUCCUAUCACCAUCUCAGGGAGUUUUUCCUUGCCACCGUCGCCCUGCUUGCUCAUCAGAGACGUCACACACACACACUUCACUUUACUUUUGUUUGUGUAAAGCUGCUUUGAGACAAUGACCUUUGUAAAA